UUAUAGUGCCUUGGAAGCAUGUCAUGUGCAGAAUCCGCUACAGUGUCUUUGAAAAUAGCACAGUCAAACAUUCAAAAUUUAAGUGACGUUAAUGGGGAAGAGAGGAGGAGGUGGUGGUUAUAGCCAUGUCUACACUACUCUUUACAGAAGACAUAGAUGUCAGUGGUCCUUCACUCGUCUCAGAAAACAACUCACGACUACAGCAGCUUGCAUGAUGAAAUGGAAGAUCAUCAUUUGAGCUAUUCCACUGAAGUCAAGCAUGAAAUCUAUUUAGCUGGAUAGCUACCCAUUUCCUGUGACCUGCAAAAGAGAUGCCCUAUUCUUUCAGGAUCCUUGGAAUGCCACAUGCCCAGGCCCACUGGAAAACUGGGAAGGAAAACUGGAGCCACAUGCCUGGGCCCACUGAGAUUCAUCACCCUUCCCCUACAACCCUGUGUCAAGGAAACACAAAGAUAGAGUGGAUUUCAGCACCACCCAAUGCAGACGCAUGGCUG
rnacentral:lncRNA from 1 species